GACGAACGCUGGCGGCGUGCUUAACACAUGCAAGUCGAACGGAAAGGCCCUGCUUUUGUGGGGUGCUCGAGUGGCGAACGGGUGAGUAACACGUGAGUAACCUGCCCUUGACUUUGGGAUAACUUCAGGAAACUGGGGCUAAUACCGGAUAGGAGCUCCUGCUGCAUGGUGGGGGUUGGAAAGUUUCGGCGGUUGGGGAUGGACUCGCGGCUUAUCAGCUUGUUGGUGGGGUAGUGGCUUACCAAGGCUUUGACGGGUAGCCGGCCUGAGAGGGUGACCGGCCACAUUGGGACUGAGAUACGGCCCAGACUCCUACGGGAGGCAGCAGUGGGGAAUAUUGCACAAUGGGCGGAAGCCUGAUGCAGCAACGCCGCGUGCGGGAUGACGGCCUUCGGGUUGUAAACCGCUUUCGCCUGUGACGAAGCGUGAGCGACGGUAAUGAGUAAAGAAGCACCGGCUAACUACGUG
rnacentral:rRNA from 1 species